ACACAGCUGCUGAUUUGGCAUAAUAAAAAUUAUUUGAAAGUGAGCUUUGUUUCUACAGUUUCUAUAGCGCUAUAUAGCAUGCAGUGUUCCCGUAACACACAGCAUCUAAUGAUCAACGUGUGUGCGUGUAGACAAGAGUGAAUAUGAGUCGUGAUCGGGACAGGUUUAUGCGACCAAUACAGUAUCUACCCCACCUGGCCACGCCCACUAAAACCCCCAGGGAAGUCAUGAUGGAUGAGCUAGGCAUGGGUGAUAAUGACCCUAAGGACCAGACAAGCUCUUCCGGAAGUGAUGAUGAAUCUCCAGUGAGCAGUAGUGUUCUGAGAAGCUUCAACUCACCGCUGCCCGUGGCUCAGACUGAGAUGAAACAGAUGUUAAGAGAGACCCAGUAUAAACUACGUAUGGCCCAGUCCAACUUAUUACAGUCUGAGCAAGGCCGAGAGAGACGACUCAAGAUCAUCAAGAAGACUCACAGCUCAGCACUCUCUCUGAAGCAGGCACUCAUUCAGGACCUUCAGGAUAUCAUAGCUGAGAGAGAAGAGAACAUUAAUGAGUUGGAGACUCAACUACGAGGUUGCUCUUGUGAGCACGUACUGGACAAGGCGAUCAAGACUGAGGUAUCUCCAUGCAAUGGUCUUGAGAGACUGGUGUUGCAACUGAGUCGUCUCCAGAAGGACCACGUUGCAUUAGAGGGUCGCUACGAGCAGGUGUCUGCUGAGUUGAGGCAUGUGCAGAGUGAGAAGGAGAACCUCCAUGAUGAGCUCAUGAUGACCAAAGAUAUGCCCUUCAAACUCAAGUCCCCAGCAAACCCAAUGAGCUCUGCACUAGCCCAGCAAGUGAGGGAGAUGCAAAAGAGGGUAGCUCAGUUGGAGGAGGAGAGGCUGGUUGCUCAGUCUCGUGCUGACAUAGAGAAGGAGCUUCAGAUACGGGUUACCGACCUUAAGACUGAGCUUAGAGCUGUGGCAAAGGAUCGUGAUCAUCUCAAUGUCAAGCACAAAAUAGAAAUUGCUUGCCUGAAUAAUCAUGUAGAAAGUCUGAAAGCUGACAGUAGUAAGAAAAAUAAGGAAGAAAUGGAGAAGGUCCAUACCCUGCAGCAGAUAUUGUCUCAGCUUGAGUCUCAAAAUGAGAGUCUUUCUUCUGAGUUGAGGGCUACUAGAGACAAGAUUACCUCUCACUCCCUCCUUCACCAAGAGGCUUUGUCUAGCCUCAACUUCCAGCUGGCGAAGGAAAAAGAAAUUUCUGGCGCUCUCAGGAAGGAGAAAGCUGUGCGGGAAUCUGAUCUCCAGAACACACAACAGAAGUUGAGUGACCUAGCCAUGCUGUCCAAAGAGCUGGAGGACAAUAACGAUCAGCUGGACACAGAGUGUGGGAACCUGCGAGAUAGAUUGAGUUUACUGGAGCAACAGCAAGCCAGAGAUGCAGCUGCCUUGUCACGACUUUCACAGCUACGGCACACUCUCUCUAAGGUGUCAUCUAGUGCUAGCUCUGUCAAGACCUGUAUAUCUGACUUCAAAAAUACAGCUCUCACAGUCAACCGCUGUAUGCAGCAGGACAUUGCUCAAGCCUCAAAAAAGAUCACUCGGCAGAUCAGACACGUCAGUGCCAAGAAUGUAAGCCUAGUGUCCAAGUACAGACAUGAGAUGGGUCUCCGUAAGAAGCUUCACAACCAACUAGUGGAGCUGCGGGGAAACAUCAGGGUCUUCUGUCGAGUGAGGCCAGUCAUUGCCGAGGAUGGGACAGGCUCCCAGGCUGAGUUGGUCGUUAUUCCUGACAGUGAUGACAAUGGUGUGGUGCGAGUGCGGAGCAGGGGCACAUGGAAGACCUUUGACCUUGACCGAGUGUUCAGCAUUGGCUCCAGGCAAGAAGAGGUAUUCUCUGAGGUAAAGGCACUGGUGACCUCGUGUAUGGACGGUUACAAUGUGUGCAUCUUCGCUUAUGGCCAGACUGGUUCCGGAAAAACAUUCACUAUGCAGGGCCCUUCAUCUAAUCCUGGUCUCAACCAGCGAGCUUUGCAGGAACUGUUCCACCUGGUAGAGGAACGGCACACUGACUACGAUUACAGCAUUGUGGUAUCAGUGCUGGAAAUUUACAAUGAGUGUGUGCGAGACCUCCUCUCAGUUGACCCCACACAUAAGCUGGACAUCAAGCAGGGCUCAGAUGGAGUGUACGUGCCAGGGCUCACACAGGUGGCUGUCUCUCAGCUUGAGGAAGUGAAUGAGGUGUUUACUCUGGGGCAUGAGAACCGAUCGACGGGAGCGACCAAGAUGAACAUUCAGAGCAGUCGUAGCCAUGCCCUCCUCUGUAUCAUUGUCAUGGGACUUAACAGAACCACUGGAGUGCAGACCAUUGGUAAGCUGAACCUGAUUGACCUAGCCGGUAGUGAGAGAUUGGAUAAGUCAGGCUCUGAUGGCAUGAGGCUGGAGGAGGCCAAACACAUCAAUAAGUCUCUCAGCUCCUUGGGUGACGUCAUUCACCACCUCCGUGCCAAGUCCUCUCACACACCCUAUAGGAACUCUAAGCUUACCUACCUUCUACAAGACUCUCUCUUGGAGGUCUUAAAGACAUCGUUGAGGAUGAAGAUGGAGAAAGGCUACUUUUACGUGCAAGGAAGACAUCAUCGAACGCAUAGCCGUGGAGCUGGAUCUACCUGGGAAUGCUGGAAGGCAAGCGAAUUAAGGAAUGUGGUCACCAUAGCUGAAGACUCAUUACAGUCUGGUGGAUGCUGAAGGGACAUUCCUGCUGAUAAUUAUAGCGGUCCCUGCUGAAGAGGGCUCAGGAUCAGAGAUAUAUAGGCGAUGAGCGUGAUGGCGAUGAACACCUGCGGACUGAGGCCUGCUCUUUGAACGCAAACUUAAGAUAGUAUACAUGCCGAGGCCGAGAUUGAGCAUCUUAGGGCUGCUGGUGCAGGCCAGAUAUAGAGAAUCUUCAACUGUACCAAAUUGUUCCAGUAGUCAGUUACUAAGCAGGUAGGGCUGAUCAGUGACACAACUUACCUACUCGCUGAAAAGACAUUGAAGUGUAUACUGGAUCCAGGGAGUAUACCCAAAAGUGCAGACAAGAACGGAUGUUCUGCAUAGUAUAGGCCAGAGAUACCUUGCACCACGUGUGUCUGGCGUUGACUCUUACUCAGCGUUAUGCAUUGAGUGAGGAAUGUAGGCUUGGGAAGUAAGAGACGUAAGGAUAAGUGCGACCAACCCGGCCCCCCUAUACGAACAAAGAGCCGGGGAAAGAAUAAACCAGGUGGCCAGAAAGCACCUAAUGGAACUGAUGACCCUGUUAGAACUGCUGAACAAGUAAAUUGUAGAUUAUGUGAUUAAGUUCCCAUCAAAGUCUGAAUACCAAAUGUUCAUACUGCUAUAAUUAUUACGCACUACAUUCCACAUGAAGUUCAAUGUUUGUUUUUUGGAAAAAAACUAAUUAGCUUAAUUCAAUUAGCCAUGGUGAUGAAAGAAAACUGCAAAAAGCGAAUGCUAUGAUCAAGCUUCAAAACAAAAGCAUAGCACAAAAUUCUAAAAUCCGGAAACAUGCUGCACGUAUGAACAAAACAUGCAGAAUCUACCAAAAGUUGACAUGGCAAAGAAAGUAUAAAAUCUUUGUAAAAUCAUUAAACAUUUUAUAGGGGCCAGUCAAUGCUACUUUGAAUUUAAAUUAUGCUCAGUGCAUUAUGCAAUAAUUAAAAGUACCUAAGCUAGCUAGCUUUGCUGACACUCUGUACCAUGCCCGUACAUGUAUAGUUGUAGUGUAGCUCUAAUUAAUGCACAGCGUCCCCUAAAAUUAAAUGUAGUUUAAGGUAGUUAACGAGGAGCGGCCCGGGCACUCAGACAUACGGGCAUGCUCAGGUAGGUUAAGGCAGCUUUUUAGCAAGUGUACUGUAUACAACUCAGAUUUAUUGUAUAAUAAUUAUCUUACCUUUUUUCACCCAAAAUGACAUAAAUACCAUUAAUUUGAUAAUGCUAUUACCAUAGUUACUAUCUCGUUGUGUGCGUUAGCUGUGACCAAAAAUGAACGACCUUAACCGAAUAGCCGCGGUUAUGAUUUCAUACGUAGUACCGCCCACCGCGGAACCAAAAUCUAAUUAAUUUUAAAUUACUUUCAUCAGAGAUACAAAAGGGGAUUGGAAACGAAAUUUUUGCGUGAAGCAUUCCGUGUUAUAGGGCGUGGCUAGGCGUGGCUAACACUACAAAGGAUUAUAUUUAUAGUCAGCAUGCUCAUUACCUGUCUUGACUGCUCUACAAUGUGCUGUACAUAGAAACAGUGAAAUUGAUCAUUUUUAAUGUUGAUUUUUCUAAAAAGUAAAGAGAAUUUAGCUCUAAAAAGUCGACUAAGCCAUGCAGCCACUAUUACUAGACAAAUAAAUGCUAUGCAAGAAGAAAUAGCCUUUACUAUGAAGUCGUAGGAGGGACAGGCCCGUGGUGUGUCUAAAAGUAUACUAAAGCAGUUUGAAGGACUAUACUGCAAACGUUUAUGAACAGUACAGCUUAUUUAUAGCAUGAAGCCAUUCUAUGUAGCACUUAGAUACAUAAUAACCAAGUCAAGCAAUGUCCUUUGCUAUUUUGACUUCACAGGAGGGACAGAGAAAAGUUGACAUAGAGUAAUUCAAGCUAAACUCAAAAAAAUUGGAAACAGAGUAAAGACAACGGACUUAGAGCUUGUCAGUGGUAUAAGCUUACUUCUCUCAAGUAUCUCCCAGGCCCUGAGUGAUCUCUAGUGGAUAGGAGAGCUAGAAACUUUCUUUUGUAUCUCUGCUUUCAUUAUCAGCUCCUAGCAAAGAAAGAUGCGUAGCUAAGAAGCAGUAGCAGUUUUCUGCAGGCAACUUUGUUGCAAACUAGUCUAGAAUAGUUACUCUGACAGGAUCUCUAAGUUUCGAACUCAGGCGUAUACCAGCCAAGGCCUCAGCGAAGGAUCAUUUCACAAAUAGCCUCUGAGUGUGUGAAAUAUACUGGAAGAGUAGCUUCGUGAGUUUAGAGCCUGUUUUUAGAGUGUAGUCUACAACGUUUGAUAUUCAAAUUAUUUUCUCUUUUUCAGCAUUCGCCUCUAGCAAAGAAAGAUGCAUAACUUGGACACAGUGACAGUUUUCUUUAUUCAACUUCUUAGCAAAGUAGUCUACAGUAGUUACUGUGUCAGGAUCUCCUGGUUUCCAACGAAACAGUCAAGCAGCCAAGGGCCAGAGCAAGGGAUCACUUCAGAGUGUGGCAAAGAAAGAUGCACCCCUUAGUAUCAGUAACAGUUCUCUUCAAGCUACCUUGUAGUUCUAUCUGAACAGUCGAAGAGUCAACCAGCCAAGGGCAGAGCGAGACAUUACUUUAGAGCUGUGAAGAAUGCUGGGCUAACGGAGUCCAUAGGCAGGCCAGGAGUGGAACUGCUUACAGCUUGUGUGGGUGUCUCUAUUCACUGGACUGGACUACUGGACUCACCUUUGACCCCAAUUUUAGAUACGUAUAUUUUUGCAAUUUUAAGUGAUUUCAAUGUGCAAUUUUCAUUUAUAUGAAGUGAUCUACAAAUUAA